AGUGAACGCUGGCGGUAGGCCUAACACAUGCAAGUCGAACGGCAGCACAGUAAGAGCUUGCUCUUACGGGUGGCGAGUGGCGGACGGGUGAGGAAUACAUCGGAAUCUACUUUUUCGUGGGGGCUAACGUAGGGAAACUUACGCUAAUACCGCAUACGACCUACGGGUGAAAGCAGGGGAUCUUCGGACCUUGCGCGAUUGAAUGAGCCGAUGUCGGAUUAGCUAGUUGGCGGGGUAAAGGCCCACAAAGGCUACGAUCCGUAGCUGGUCUGAGAGGAUGAUCCGCCACACUGGCACUGAGACUCAGCCGAGACUCCUACACGAGGCCGCAGUCCGGAAUACUAGACAAUGCGGGCGAGCCUGAUAUAGCCAUACCGCGUGGGUGAAGAAGGACUUAGGGUUGUAAAGCCCUGUUGUUGGUAAAGAAGUGCAGCAGGUUAAUCCCCCGCUGUACUGACGGUACCCAAAGAAUAAGCACCGGCUAACUUCGUG
rnacentral:rRNA from 1 species